CGGCGGACGGGUGAGUAACGCGUGGGUAACCUGCCUUACACAGGGGGAUAACAGUUAGAAAUGACUGCUAAUACCACAUAAGACCCCGGUACCGCAUGGUACAGAGGUAAAAACUGAGGUGGUGUAAGAUGGACCCGCGUCUGAUUAGGUAGUUGGUGAGGUAACGGCUCACCAAGCCGACGAUCAGUAGCCGGCCUGAGAGGGUGGACGGCCACAUUGGGACUGAGACACGGCCCAGACUCCUACGGAAGGCAGCAG
rnacentral:rRNA from 1 species